GACGAACGCUGGCGGCGUGCUUAACACAUGCAAGUCGAGCGGCGCGGCGAACGGGUGAGUAACGCGUGAGUAACUGCCCCCCUCUCUGGGAUAACCGUUGGAAACGGCGGCCAAUACCGGAUAGUGGGGGAUGACUCGCGUCCUAUCGGCUUGUUGGUGGGGUAGUGGCCUACCAAGGCGACGACGGGUAGCCGGCCGUAGAGGGCGACCGGCCUCCUUGUGCUGAGGUACGGCCCAAACGCCUACGUGAGGCAGCAGUGGGGAAUAUUGCACAAUGGGGGAAACCGUGAUGCGCCAACCCGCGUGCGGGAUGACGGCCUUCGCGUUGUAAACCGCUUUCAGCCAUGACGCGGUAGUGGCAGAAGAAGCACCGGCUAACUACGUGCCAGCCGCCGCGGUAAUAC
rnacentral:rRNA from 1 species